rnacentral:rRNA from 1 species
UACGAAAGGGGCUAGCGUUGUUCGGAAUUACUGGGCGUAAAGCGCACGUAGGCGGCCUCUCAAGUUAGGGGUGAAAGCCUAGGGCUCAACCCCAGAACUGCCCUUGAUACUGAGGAGCUUGAGGAUGGGAGAGGUGAGUGGAACUCCGAGUGUAGAGGUGAAAUUCGUAGAUAUUCGGAAGAACACCAGUGGCGAAGGCGGCUCACUGGCCCGGUACUGACGCUGAGGUGCGAAAGCGUGGGGAGCAAACAGG